rnacentral:tmRNA from 1 species
GGUCUUUUUUCCUUAACGGGAACCCCCUAUAUUCAUUCUCGCCGGGGCAACCCGGCUAUGGCGAUAAACGGCCGUCGAAAUAAACCCAUCGGACCCGGGGGCAGUACCCGGCGGCUCCACCAGUGUCGCUCAGAUUACGAGGCGCCCGUCGCGGCGGAACCUGGGUUCCAGGUUCCAAGGCCGGCGGGGCCGGUCCUCCCGAAAGGGCGGACUGCGGGGCGACACUGGCGGGGCCGAACUAGGAUCGACGAGGGCGUAAAGGGCGUUCUUUCGCUCGGCAUGGUUCCGCCGAUAUCGGGCCAUUCUCAUAGUUGCCAACGACAACUAUGCUCCGGUUGCUCAGGCUGCGUAAGCGGUCCUGAAAAACCAAGCCUACAAGCCCUAGCGGGAUAAGCUCCGUUAGGCGGGGUUCGGAGGCACCUGGCAACAGAAGCCUCCACU